UAGAGUUUGAUCCUGGCUCAGGACAAACGCUGGCGGCGUGCCUAAAACAUGCAAGUCGUACGGUCCUUCGGGACAGUGGCGAACGGCUGAGUAACACGUGGGUAACCUACCCUCGAGUGGGGGAUAACCCUCCGAAAGGAGGGCUAAUACCGCGUACGUUCACCCGAUCACGGUUGGGUGAGGAAAGCAGUAAUGCGCUCGAGGAUGGGCCUGCGGCCCAUUAGCUUGUUGGUGGGGUAACGGCCUACCAAGGCAACGAUGGGUAGCUGGUCUGAGAGGACGAUCAGCCACACUGGGACUGAGACACGGCCCAGACUCCUACGGGAGGCAGCAGUGGGGAAUCUUGCGCAAUGCGCGAAAGCGUGACGCAGCAACGCCGCGUGGGGGAAGACGGCCUUCGGGUUGUAAACCCCUUUCAGGAGGGACGAAGGUUCACCGGUGAAUAGCCGUGUGGAUUGACGGUACCUCCACAAGAAGCUCCGGCUAACUACGUGCCAGCAGCCGCGGUAA
rnacentral:rRNA from 1 species